AAUCACUCAAAAGAAAGAAAAAGAAAGGUGCCGUCACCAAUCUUCAAAUUUCUCAACUCCAUAACUAGGCCUUUUAGCCUCAACUUCAACUAAUCUCUUUUAUGAUCCAGAAUUGAAUACGCCUGCCAAUGAAUAUUUGUACCCGAAAACUUGUUUCAUCUUUUAUGACCCACAUGGGUUAGGAAACGUCGACAGAUUUUUUGUUAGCCAUGGGCAUGGAGUUGCUGAUCAGGAAGAGCUCAAGGUCAACAAUCAAAUGAUGCAAAUCCAACACUUUUGGAUGAGUAAUGAAAGCAUCAAAAUCGACGGGCACAUGAAUAAUCAUUCUUUUUUCUUGCAUUUAU